UUUCUUUGGUCUUCAAGCAAUCAAAGAACAGAUGCUCAAAGGUUUCUCGAUGCAAACCAUAGAAAAUACAGUCUUGUGGAAUCAGAAUAUUUAACACCUGAAGUCUGUCCACAGUUGCAAGUCUCCUGUGCAGUGCCAACCACAGUAUAAAUUUGUAUCUGGGAUGUAGUUGAGGCUGCAAUAUGAUGGACUUCCAUUGG
rnacentral:lncRNA from 1 species